CAAUAGCGUAUAUUAAUGUUGUUGCAGUUAAAAAGCUCGUAGUUGAAUUUCUGGUUAAAUAUUAGCCGGCCUCGGUCGUUAAUAUUUAAUCAUCCGUUAGAGAACUAUAGCCGUCCUUAAUUGGUCACUAUAGAGAUCUAACAUUUUACUUUGAAAAUUAGAGUGUUCAAGGCAGGCAAUCGUCAUGAAUACUAUAGCAUGGAAUAAUGGAAUAGGACUUUGGUUCAUUUUAUUGGUUAUUGAACCUUAGUAAUGAUUAACAGGGACAGUUGGGCAUUGAGUAUUUAAUUGUCAGAGGUGAAAUUCAUUGGAUUUAUUAAAGACUAACUUAUGCGAAAGCAUUUGCCAAGGAUGUUUUCAUUAAUCAAGAACGAAAGUUAGGGGAUCAAAGACGAUCAGAUACCG
rnacentral:rRNA from 1 species